AUGCCGCUGAAGGUCGUGGUGGAGCUGCAGAUUCACGCGGUCACAUGUCCUGGUGUGUUCCUGCCAGAGAAACAUGACAUUUAUCUCAGUGUGAGCAUCUUGGGUCAAUACAAAGAGACGGAAUGCCUUCCUCCUGUUUUCCCUCUCCUGUUUCAUGAGAAGAUGUUGUUUGAAAAGCUCUUUCAAAGUGCAGUAGAUCCUAUUGCUGUAACUGAGAUGCUUGAAAGUAAUGUAACGAAGUUUGAAUUAACUCAGCUUGUAUCUUCAGUAGGAGAUGAGCUUGCAUUUUAUGAAGAGAAUACUCGAGAUUUUCUGUUCCCAGAGCCUAAGCUGACUCCUGCAUAUCCUGGUGUGGACAGAGAAUUAUUGAUGAAAACAUCUUCUCAUUUCCCAGGAAUAGCACCAAAAAUAGAGUUCUCCACAAGAACAACCAUUACAGAGCUUCCACUUCAGUGCAGAGGGAAGAAUUAUGUCCAAAACAGAACAAGGAAUCAAAGAUCUGCAUUGACAUCACCCAAACAAAGGAGCAGGUCAUUAACACGAUGCAAGGCACCAGUGAAAAUGGAUAAGAUGUACAAAAGGCAUACAAGGUCAUUAAAACCACAGGCUCCUUCUCUAAAUGCUAGAGACCACUUCUGUGAGCUUUCCACAGAGAACCAGCAGCAGCUGUGCAGACUGAGCCUGGGGUCUGCUGAGUGCAAGUCAGAGGAAGAGAACAGACCACCAUUUGUAAUCAGACAUGUGGACAGUUCCAAAUCAUUCAGUGAAGUAACCUCACCAUUGUCUUACAGUAAUGUGAAGAAAAGUGUGAGAUCAGCAAGAGAUUCUUCCAAAUUUCAUGUGAAAGGAGGUUGCCUGCCGAUGUGGAUUGCAGCUGGGAGAAAAUCAACGAGCGAGUGCGGAGCCUCCUCACCUCAGCACAGGCCAAGCAGCGGCUUUCCGCUGGAGCUACUGAGAAUGAAAUUGAUGAUGUCCUUGAAAGAAGGUCUGUCUCUUUGAGGAAUUCCCUGCCUAAGGACUCAGAGGAACCAAGCUAUUGCUAAGUAGUUAUUAUCAGAAAGGUGGGACGACACAGUGACUCCUGGAUACUGAUCUGAAGAGCACUGAUCUGACACUUCUAUUCCAGCUGAGCAGUGGUUUGGUUUUUUGCUGUUGUGUUACAUCUUUCUCUCAAAGCAAGACUUCUACACUAUCUGAUGCUGCAUAGAAUGAUUAAAUGAUUACCUGUGGGCUCAAAUACAACUCUCACAGAGACGUGAAGUUACUAGCUUAUUACUAGAGCGAAGGCUGGUCUUUGAGUCUUGUCUCUGGUCUGUACUUUCUCAGGUUUGCACUUAGAAUUAUCACUAAAAAUUUACAGUCCUGGAGCUGAUGAUCUGAAAGGGUUAAAUUUCUCAGUGUAUAUUCUUAAAAAUAGAAAAGGGCCUUUACUUGUUUAAUUACUAUCAUGCAUUUCUCCAGUCUUGAAAAAAGCUACCUGAAAUAGAUCUUUAAUACAUAUGCUUAAA